rnacentral:rRNA from 1 species
UAAUUGAAGAGUUUGAUCAUGGCUCAGAUUGAACGCUGGCGGCAGGCCUAACACAUGCAAGUCGAGCGGUAACAGGAGAAAGCUUGCUUUCUUGCUGACGAGCGGCGGACGGGUGAGUAAUGUAUGGGGAUCUGCCCGAUAGAGGGGGAUAACUACUGGAAAUGGUGGCUAAUACCGCAUAAUGUCUACGGACCAAAGCAGGGGCUCUUCGGACCUUGCACUAUCGGAUGAACCCAUAUGGGAUUAGCUAGUAGGUGGGGUAAAGGCUCACCUAGGCGACGAUCUCUAGCUGGUCUGAGAGGAUGAUCAGCCACACUGGGACUGAGACACGG